rnacentral:rRNA from 1 species
UACGUAGGGUGCGAGCGUUGUCCGGAAUUAUUGGGCGUAAAGAGCUCGUAGGCGGUCUGUCGCGUCGAUCGUGAAAACUUGGGGCUUAACCCUGAGCUUGCGGUCGAUACGGGCAUGACUGGAGUUCGGCAGGGGAGACUGGAAUUCCUGGUGUAGCGGUGAAAUGCGCAGAUAUCAGGAGGAACACCGGUGGCGAAGGCGGGUCUCUGGGACGGUACUGACGCUGAGACGCGAAAGCGUGGGGAGCGAACAGG